rnacentral:lncRNA from 7 species
CCGACGACGAAGCGCGGGUCCGUGGCGAGGUACAAGUUCAGUGAUCCUCUCCUUCUUCCUGUGAUCGCGCCAGACCACCACUUGGCUGGCCGUUAAUGAUCGUGCAGCGAGCCCCGACAGUCUGCAUUGGGCGCACGCCGGGAUGCACGACUCCACAAUGGCAACCUGCCUUGCACAACCCUACGCCGGUGAUCGGCACUCCGUACGCGUCCAGGGCCCAGCGGCUCUUCCUCCUUACUCCCCUCUCUCUGGCUACGGGUGAGUUCUUGCUUGCUUCUA